UACGUAGGGUGCAAGCGUUGUCCGGAAUUAUUGGGCGUAAAGAGCUCGUAGGCGGUCUGUCGCGUCUGCUGUGAAAAUCCAGGGCUCAACCCUGGACCUGCAGUGGGUACGGGCAGACUAGAGUGCGGUAGGGGAGAUCGGAAUUCCUGGUGUAGCGGUGAAAUGCGCAGAUAUCAGGAGGAACACCGGUGGCGAAGGCGGAUCUCUGGGCCGUAACUGACACUGAGGAGCGAAAGCAUGGGGAGCGAACAGG
rnacentral:rRNA from 1 species